rnacentral:rRNA from 1 species
CCCUUAGAUGUUCUGGGCCGCACGCGCGCUACACUGAUGCAUUCAACGAGUUUCUUCCUGGUCCGAGAGGAAUGGGUAACCUUUUGAAAGUGCAUCGUGAUAGGGAUAGACUAUUGCAAUUAUUGGUCUUCAACGAGGAAUUCCUAGUAGACGUAGUUCAUCAGACUGCAUCGAUUACGUCCCUGCCCUUUGUACACACCGCCCGUCGCUCCUACCGAUUGAAUGCUCAGGUGAGCCAUUCGGACGUUCAUCAUGCUGGUUUCCAGUUUUGAUGAAGGAAAGUCUUGCGAACCUUAUCAUUUAGAGGAAGGAGAAGUCGUAACA